rnacentral:rRNA from 1 species
GAGUUUGAUCAUGGCUCWKGACGAACGCUGGCGGCACGCCUAACACAUGCAAGUCGAACGGAGAUAUUUUGGUUUACUGAGAUAUCUUAGUGGCGGACGGGUGAGUAACACGUGAGCAACCUGCCUCUGAGAGAGGGAUAGCUUCUGGAAACGGAUGGUAAUACCUCAUAACAUAACGAAGCCGCAUGACUUUGUUAUCAAAGAUUUAUCACUCAGAGAUGGGCUCGCGUCUGAUUAGAUAGUUGGUGAGGUAACGGCCCACCAAGUCGACGAUCAGUAGCCGGACUGAGAGGUUGAACGGCCACAUUGGGACUGAGACACGGCCCAKACUCCUACGGGAGGCAGCAGUGGGGAAUAUUGCACAAUGGGGGAAACCCUGAUGCAGCGAUGCCGCGUGGAGGAAGAAGGUUUUCGGAUUGUAAACUCYUGUCUUAAWGGACGAUAAUGACKGUACUUU